rnacentral:lncRNA from 1 species
AUGUCCCAUGUAGAUCCUGUGUCCAUCCUGUGUCCUUCCCAUGUCCCGUGUAGAUCCCAUGUCCAUCCCAUGUCCAUCCCGUGUCCAUCCUAUGUCCCUCCCAUGUCCUAUGUCCAUCCUGUGUCCAUCCCGUGUCCUUCCUAUGUCCCAUGUAGAUCCUGUGUCCCUCCCAUGUCCCUCCCGUGUCCAUCCUGUGUCCUUCCCAUGUCCCAUGUAGAUCCCAUGUCCAUCCCAUGUCCAUCCUGUGUCCUUCCCAUGUCCCAUGUAGAUUCCGUGUCCAUCCUGUGUCCAUCCCGUGUAGAUCCCAUGUCCCUCCCAUGUCCAACCCAUGUCCCAUGUAGAUCCCAUGUCCUUCCCGUGUCCAUCCCAUGUCCUUCCCAUGUCCUGUGUCCAUCCCGUGUCAUUCCCAUAUUCCAUGUACAUCCCAUGUCCUUCCCAUGUCCUAUGUCCCUCCCGUGUCCCUCCCAUGUCCAUCCCAUGUCCCUCCCAUGUCCUUCCCAUGUCCAUCCCAUGUCCAUCCUCUGUCCUUUCCAUGUCCCAUGUAGAUUCCGUGUCCAUUCCGUGUGCAUCCCGUGUAGAUCCCGUGUCCCUCCCAUGUCCAUCCUGUGUCCAUCCCAUGUCCUUCCCAUGUAGAUCCCAUGUCUGUCUCGUGUGCAUCCCAUGUCCCGUGUAGAUCCUGUGUCCUUCCCAUGUUCAUCCCAUGUCCCAUGUAGAUCCUGUGUCCAUCCUGUGUCCUUCCCAUGUCCCGUGUAGAUCCCAUGUCCAUCCCAUGUCCAUCCCGUGUCCAUCCUAUGUCCCUCCCAUGUCCUAUGUCCAUCCUGUGUCCAUCCCGUGUCCUUCCUAUGUCCCAUGUAGAUCCUGUGUCCCUCCCAUGUCCCUCCCGUGUCCAUCCUGUGUCCUUCCCAUGUCCCAUGUAGAUCCCAUGUCCAUCCCAUGUCCAUCCUGUGUCCUUCCCAUGUCCCAUGUAGAUUCCGUGUCCAUCCUGUGUCCAUCCCGUGUAGAUCCCAUGUCCCUCCCAUGUCCAACCCAUGUCCCAUGUAGAUCCCAUGUCCUUCCCGUGUCCAUCCCAUGUCCUUCCCAUGUCCUGUGUCCAUCCCGUGUCAUUCCCAUAUUCCAUGUACA